CGGUAACAGCUCAAAUUUGAAAUCUGGCUCCUCUGGAGUCCGAGUUGUAAUUUGUAGAAGAUGCUUUGGGUUGUGGGUUCGGCCUAAGUUCCUUGGAACAGGACGUCAUAGAGGGUGAGAAUCCCGUAUGUGGCCGAGGCCCGCGCCUAUGUAAAGCUCUUUCAACGAGUCGAGUUGUUUGGGAAUGCAGCUCAAAAUGGGUGGUAAAUUUCAUCUAAAGCUAAAUAUGGGCCAGAGACCGAUAGCGCACAAGUAGAGUGAUCGAAAGAUGAAAAGCACUUUGGAAAGAGAGUUAAACAGUACGUGAAAUUGUUGAAAGGGAAGCGCUUGCACCCAGACUUGGGCGCUGCUGAUCACCUUGCGGUCUCCGCGAGUGCACUCGACAGCGCACAGGCCAGCAUCGGUUCGGGUGGCUGGAUAAAGGCCGUAGGAACGUAGCUCCCUUCGGGGAGUGUUAUAGCCUACGGUGCCAUGCAGCCCAGCCGGACCGAGGACCGCGCCUUCGGGCUAGGAUGCUGGCGUAAUGGGUGUAAGCGACCCGUCUUGAAACACGGACCAAGGAGUCUAACAUCUAUGCGAGUGUUUGGGUGGCAAACCCAUACGCGGAAUGAAAGUGAACGUAGGUGAGAACCCCUUUGGGGCGCAUCAUCGACCGAUCCUGAUGUCUUCGGAUGGAUUUGAGUAAGAGCAUAGC
rnacentral:rRNA from 1 species